GUACUCUCACACUCUCCAUUUCUUUGGAUUCGGGGAGCGGUGGACUUGGGUGUUUGCUGCUUUCCUUGCGGCUCACCUCAAAUGCGUCAGUGCACCUCUUGGUUGGACAUAGUACGGCGUGAUAAGUGUCUUCGCCGGCACCUCGCAAGAGGGUGGCCGAUCGGGAGCUCUGUGCUUUCAAACCGUCCUCGGACAAUCUCUGACA
rnacentral:misc_RNA from 1 species